CUGAAAUGUCUCCAGGAAUCAAGUCUUUAGUCAGCAGGAAUGAGACUGAAAUCAUACACUGAAUAAUAAAAACGACCCCAGCAGUAGCAACAUGAAAGAGGAGGUAGAAGCAGCUCUGCACGUCUCAAAGCAAGACAGUGAACUCCAGACCCAGGAAAUAAUAGCACCAGUGCCAGCAAGUUGCCAACUGGAGCCUUUUGAUGGAGUGUGGUCCCAGGGGAAACACCG
rnacentral:lncRNA from 12 species